GGAUCACUUUACAAAAAUGUGUGCUUUGUUUAUGUUAUCUUAAUUAAAGGCGUGCGUGUCACUAGCCCUUGAAUCGCAGUGUGUAGAGGAAAAUCAAUAUGACAGCCUGAACUUGCUUAUCAAACUUUAGUGAUUUAUGUGCCUUUGAUUAAUUCAUUUUCUUGAAAAUGGGAGAUAUUUGCACAGCAUAAAUGUCAUGUUGAGCAGCUCUCUAAUUACUGAAACAAAGGGCAGUCAUUAUCAUGGAAUGGAGACUGUUUUUUUUUCAUGGGCAGCAUUCUGGUUUUGCCUACUAUUAAAUGUAGCUAUGUAGAAAAUUCUGCCUUUAAGACUAUGCCACUAUACAUAAUAAUUAAAGCAGGCAUGUCUCAGGACUCUGGUGAACUCACUUACAGCCUGGCUCCAUCACUUUUAUAUGAAAAGUACCUACGUUCUACCUUCAUAAUACAUUCAUAGACGUUGCAUACAUAUUUUAUAAAGCGGUGUCAGAGGACUUAUGUAAAGCUUAUGUCAAAACUCAUGAGGCAACACUGCAGAUUUUAUUGAAUAUGACAAUCUGCCUAUAGGCAUGUAUCGGGAGAUAGGGGAAAACAGAGAAGCCAGAGAAAACACAGGAGAAUCCUGGAGCUGUUAGACAGCAAUGCUACCUGCUGCACUAUCAUGCUGGAAAGGAUUAUGAGUGGAACAACUGAAAAGUUUUCACCCUGUCAGCAGGAUGUUAUGAGUUUGUAUCCUUAUUAUGGGUGGGAUGUAAGGGAGCAUAGCUGUCUAUGCUCUCUGGGUGGGCUGAUAAAAAGGUGGUAAAUUCUCUUUUCCCUGUCAAUCAAAGCAACAUAAGCCUAUCAUAGAUGUGUGUAAGGUCAUGUAUGCUGAAGAGUGCAGGUGGCGCUUUCUUCAGAGCCUUGAUUUACAGCAUGAACUGCAACUAGAUGGAGGGAUGACGCUGGAUUGACUCGUGUCUGUGAGGAAGCCUGCUGGUCUUCACCCUCCUCUGGUAGCUGUCAUAUAACAGGCAGCCUGGUAGGUAACCUGGAUGACAUGUCAUCGGAAAUGACCACAUUGGCCCAGUAUGUGCAAUUAUUGCACUGGGCUGAUCUUCAAACAAGCUCCGGAGUCCUGGUAGCUCUCUGGAACUGCAUGAGGGAAACGGGACGAGGCCACACGGAAGAAGAGCAAGGACAGAUGGCUAGGGGAUCAGACCGAUGCAGGAGAUAUGACAAGGCACAGCUCACCUCACCACAGGUGCCUGACAGUGUAGGAGGCUCCCGCCAAGAGUCCAUAAUCUCUCUCCGGCACUGUCCGCCAAGCUGCCAUCACGAACAUGUUCAUGUGGUCUUACCCACAGGUUGACUGUUUUGUGUGUGUGUGUAUGUGUGUGUGUGUGUGUGUGUGUGUGUGUGUGUGUGUGUGUGUGUGUGUGUGUGUGUGUGUGUGUGUGUGUGUGUGUGUGUGUGUGUGUGUGUGUGUGUGUGCUAUAGAUGACUCAGAGCAGGAAGACUGGACAUUAAAAGAAAAACAAAACAAAACUAUACUUAACUCACUGACUCAUCAGCUACAUUGUGCAUUGUGAACAUUUUUGCCACUACAACAGUAACAACCUGAUCCCAUUAUCUAUACUUUAUUGUUGGUUAAUUUCAUUAUCUUUCCUGUUGAGUCAUAUCUCUGACUCUCUGUUCUGUUCAGUAGAAUAUGUAUGAACAUUUGUCCUCUGCAAGAGGGUAAUUUUAAAUACCAGCAAUCUAGCACUGGUCCCCUAAUGGGUGGGAUUCAAACUGGCAUUAACAUGCAAGGAGCACCAAGGUCUUAGGUCCUGAGCCUUCAGCGUAUGGCACUUAGUCGAUGCAAAACACUGAAUUAUUUAUAGGAGAAAGAAAUAAAUUCAAGUCAUGAGACAUAAAAACCCAAGUGUCAUGGCCAGGCUUGAGAUUAACCCUGAGGUGACUGGGAAAGUUGAUGAUUGUUAAUAAAGAAUGAAUCUUCAUCAGGAAAUCUAUCUCGGCAUGUUCAAGCUCACUUACUGACUAGCAGUUUUAAUUGGAGACAUACUGACAAAAUGGUGAUUUCUGGUAUUUGGUUAAAGUAUUAAUUUAUUCAUUUAUUAAUACUUUAAUAGCCAGAAAUCACCAUAUUUUAUGUACUUGAGAAUAUAUAUACGAAGAUUGUCAUGCUAUGUGAUGUUAAUUAUUUGUUAGUUUAGUUUAAAUCUUAAAUCAUAUUUAUCUCAAAUUAUAUAGAUCACAAUCAUAUUUAUUGUUUUUAUAUGGGGUUAAUCAUAUUUACAGAAAUAGCAAGCCAUAAAAGGUUUUCUAAUAUGAGUCGAUAUAAUUUACUUUGCACCAGGGGCGGUUCUAGGAUUUCAUCUUUAGGGGUUUUAGCCCUCAGUGAGAAUUUAAAACAAGAAGAGUUUUAUAUUAUAUAUUAUAUGACUACAUAGUAAACCAAAAGUUAUGGUAUUAUUU